CAUGCGCUCUUUGGCCUUGGUCCAACUUUGAGUUAUGCAAGUGCUGGAAAUGUGACAAUUUUAGGAACCAGUCAAGUGAUACUGCAGCCUCCAUGCACAGCCAUGCUAAUGGAUGGUGGAGCUUUUACACUUGUUGAACUCUUUAGGUAUGAAGCUUGUAGGUGAUUCCUGGCCAAGGAAGGGGAAGAACACUAGCACUGGAUGGUCUUAGAUCAAAGCCAACCUCUCUACAAUCUUUUCUAUGCUACAUCAAAAACAAUCUACGGCACUUUGUGGUGAAGCACCUCACGUGAAACAAAACAAAUGUGGCAGUGUGUGACAAGCACCUUAUAAAACAGGCUUACUUUGACCUCCACAUGUCUUCCUGCCUGAAGCUUCUUUUACCAGAACUGCAUCAUCUGAGCAUUGUAUAUUCUCUAAAAGUGUUGUUUUGGACAAAAUAAUUUCUUGCUAGCAAAUUCUGGUUAUCUCAUCAUGGACUAAUUUUAGCCUGUCUGUUGCACUUGUGCUCUCAUGCACGCUACCCUCAGGUUUUCCUCCCACGUCCCCAUUAUAAUUUGGUCUUUUAUUAGGUCCUGAAUUGUCUCCCCAAAUUAUCACUUUGUCUCUUCUCCUUUUGAUUGCAGACUCCAUUUUUCUAAUGUCUUUCUGUACUCUUUGGUGAAUAUUUACACACCUUUCUUUAGAUGACUAAGUUAGAAGGCUCGUGUCCUACAGCUUCCUAUACAGUCAGUGAAGAGAGAGAGGAAUUCCUUAUGAGGACAACUGCAGCAUUUAAACUGGUCUCUGAAUUACUCUUUAAGGAGCCUCCCACUCCCAGCCCUUCCCUUCCUCUCUGUUCCCAUUAAUAAUCCUGGAAGACUAUCCCUCUAAUUUAGCUACCUAGUUUAUAUGACUAAAUUUAGGCAGUCUGAGUACUCCUAAAUGCUCAAUAAUGUAUUCUCCAUGUGUUUUAUUUCUAGAUGCUAUAAUGUUACAUUUCUAUAAAGUUUUAUAGUUAGCUUUUUUCUGCUUGAGCUAACUGGAAACAAUUAAAAUUGUGCAAUACUGUUACCCAAAAUAAAGCUACCU